rnacentral:rRNA from 1 species
UGGACUCAUGGCGGACGGGUGAGUAACGCGUAAAGAACUUGCCCUUUAGACUGGGAUAACAGAGGGAAACUUCUGAUAAUACUGGAUAAGUUAGUAUAUCGCAUGAUAUGCAAAUGAAAGCUACGGCACUAAAGGAGAGCUUUGCGUCCUAUUAGCUAGUUGGUAAGGUAAGAGCUUACCAAGGCGAUGAUAGGUAGCCGGCCUGAGAGGGUGGACGGCCACAAGGGGACUGAGAUACGGCCCUUACACCUACGGGAGGCAGCAGUGGGGAAUAUUGGACAAUGGAGGGAACUCUGAUCCAGCAAUUCUGUGUGUGUGAAGAAGGUUUUAGGACUGUAAAACACUUUUAGUAGGGAAGAAAAAAAUGACGGUACCUACAGAAGAAGCAACGGCUAAAUACGUGCCAGCAGCCGCGGUAAUACGUAUGUUGCGAGCGUUAUCCGGAAUUAUUGGGCUUAAAGGGCAUCUAGGCGGUAAGACAAGUUGAAGGUGAAAACCUGUGGCUCAACCAUAGGCUUGCCUACAAAACUGUUGAACUAGAGUACUGGAAAGGUGGGUGGAACUACACGAGUAGAGGUGAAAUUCGUAGAUAUGUGUAGGGAUGCCGAUGAUGAAGAUAACUCACUGGACAGAAACUGACGCUGAAGUGCGAAAGCUAGGGGAGCAAACAGGAUUAGAUACCCUGGUAGUC